GACGAACGCUGGCGGCGUGCUUAACACAUGCAAGUCGAACGGAAAGGCCCUGCUUUUGUGGGGUGCUCGAGUGGCGAACGGGUGAGUAACACGUGAGUAACCUGCCCUUGACUUUGGGAUAACUUCAGGAAACUGGGGCUAAUACCGGAUAGGAGCUCCUGCUGCAUGGUGGGGGUUGGAAAGUUUCGGCGGUUGGGGAUGGACUCGCGGCUUAUCAGCUUGUUGGUGGGGUAGUGGCUUACCAAGGCUUUGACGGGUAGCCGGCCUGAGAGGGUGACCGGCCACAUGGGGAUUGGGGUGCGGCCCGGACUCCUCCGGGAGGAAGGGGUGGGGAAUUUUGCCAGAGGGGCGGAGGCCUGAUGCAGGAACCCCGGGUGGGGAAAGUCGGCCUUCGGGUUGUAACCCCUUUUCCCCUGUGCCGAAGCGUGGGUGCGGUAAAUGGGGAAAAAAGCACCGGCAAAUUCCGU
rnacentral:rRNA from 1 species